CCUACGGGCGGCAGCAGUGGGGAAUAUUGCGCAAUGGGCGAAAGCCUGACGCAGCGACGCCGCGUGAGGGAUGAAGGUCUUCGGAUCGUAAACCUCUGUCAGCAGGGAAGAACGGUCACUGUGCUAAUCAGCAGUGAAUUGACGGUACCUGCAAAGGAAGCACCGGCUAACUCCGUGCCAGCAGCCGCGGUAAUACGGAGGGUGCGAGCGUUAAUCGGAAUUACUGGGCGUAAAGCGCUCGUAGGCGGUAUGUCAAAUCAAGGGUGAAAUCCCCGCGCUCAACGUGGGAACUGACGUUGAAACUGGCAAACUGGAGUGUGUGAGAGGAUAGUGGAAUGCCAGGUGUAGGAGUGAAAGCCGUAGAUAUCUGGAAGAACAUCAGUGGCGAAGGCGACUAUCUGGCACAUAACUGACGCUGAGGAGCGAAAGCGUGGGUAGCAAACAGGAUUAGAUACCCUUGUAGUC
rnacentral:rRNA from 1 species